rnacentral:rRNA from 1 species
CCUACGGGUGGCAGCAGUGAGGAAUAUUGGUCAAUGGGCGCGAGCCUGAACCAGCCAAGUCGCGUGAGGGAAGACUGUCCUAUGGAUUGUAAACCUCUUUUAUCGGGGAGCAAAAGACACCACGCGUAGCGUUCCGAGAGUACCCGAAGAAAAAGCAUCGGCUAACUCCGUGCCAGCAGCCGCGGUAAUACGGAGGAUGCGAGCGUUAUCCGGAUUUAUUGGGUUUAAAGGGUGCGCAGGGGGAAGGUGAAGUCAGUGGGAAAAUUGAGGGGCGCAACCUCUUCGAGCCGUUGAAACUGGUUGUCUUGAGUGAGUUAGAGGUAUGCGGAAUGCGUGGUGUAGCGGUGAAAUGCAUAGAUAUCACGCAGAACUCCGAUUGCGAAGGCAGCAUACCGGCGCUUAACUGAUGCUCAUGCGCGAAAGUGUGGGUAUCGAACAGGAUUAGAUACCCGGGUAGUC